rnacentral:lncRNA from 1 species
GUAGCCGAGCAUACUUUAGUAGCACAUGCUCCCUCAAUGGCGAUUUCUGGCAUUUGCAUGUCGAAGACGUAUCCAACUACAAAGGCUCGCGAGCAGCCGUGGUUCUUGUCACCCCAGACGACCACAUUUCCUCUAAAGUGAACCAAGCUAGCCCUAUAAAUAUGCUCCUAUUUUCACCAAAUAUUCAUUCCAACACUUUGGCAAAAAUCCCAAAAUUCUCUAAACACUCUUUCUUUCUAAAUUCUAACUUUGGCACCGGAGGUUCUUCCGCCAAAGCCCCCCCAUUCAUAGUGGGCGCGUGAGGCUCUUAGCCUUAACCUAAGGUGUUAAUUGUUUUGUACGUGGAAAAUUGUCCAAGAUGAAGGAGGAAGAAAUUUGCAUCCACAAAGAACAUGUUAGAUAAGUCUAUCAUAAAGAAGACAACACAAACAACUAGUGCUUAUUCCUUUGUUGUAUGAACAAAGGAACUUGAGAAGAUUAGCACAAAGACAUGGACACUUUUAGUGUCAUAAUUGUUCCAUAACAAAUCAUUGUAUGAAGAAAUAAGAGUUUCUUUGAACAACUCUUAGUUAACGCUAACACUAGUGCUUGUUUCUUUGUUACGUGAAAAAAGAACUUGAGAAGUAAGCACAAGGGCAUGGACACUUUAUGUGCCAUGAUUCUUCACUUACAAAUUGUUGUAUGAAGAAAUGAGAGUUGCGCUGAACAAUUCUUGAAAGUUUGUAAUCAUGUUUAGAACAUAAUGGUUGAUUGACAAAAAUAGUAAAUGUUAAACCACUUCAGGAGAUAGAAACUAGGCAAGGACUUCACCUUUGAGUCCCUAUCCAAAUGGUUCACUAAGUUUAUUGUAAACUAUAUAGUGAACAAUAACCGCACACUCUCCAAAUCGUUUGAUGUGUAUAACACAAUUAAAAUAAGUUUCAAGAGAGAUAGUGGGAGUUUAGGGACCAUGACUAUUGUAAUCAAUGGAGAAGUCAAAUGAAGAAGGCGAAAUAACUCCAAGGGAAUAAACUUUCUUUAUUAAAGGAUGGACAUUGGAAGGGGUUUUUGCAAGAAACGUCUUGCAAGUGUCAAGAACACACUUUUUGAAGGUGUUGUAAAUUGUUCUUGAAUAAUUCAAAAUAGUUGGUUCUUCUACUGGAAUGCUUGAUUUCGUAUUAGUAACUAUGUUUUACAAUCGUUGUAAAAGUGUGGCUAAUAAGAACUAGAAGAUUAAUGAGAGAAGAAAAGGUACUUCACAUUCGGAAUGUGAAUAAAAUAUAGACCUUUGCGAAAGCAUAUAGUACUUACUUCCUCAUAUGAACUACCAAAGAAAUUGGAAAAACAAAGAUUGUCUUUACAUUCCAAUUUGAAUAAGGAACUUAAUGCCGUCACUAUAAGAGAUGGAUUUAUGUUUUGUUUGACAAAACAUUGUUCUUUAUUAAUGAAUGAUUGGAUUAUUGUAAUCUGAUUGAUUGUCUCUAUAGUAAAGAUGAUAUGGUAGUGUUAACUAUUUAGAAUAUAACGAUGCUUAAAACCCUAAAGGUUGCAAGGUAAUGACUAAUCCCACUGAGUUGUGACAUCUCUAAAACAUAAAUUACAAGUUGGUCAUAGAUGGAUGCUUUGUAUCGUUAGAUCCGGAUCCAAUGUCUUCUUGUUAAAAUUGUAUAGAGGCGAAAUGUUCGAAUCUUUAUUCUUUUGAAAAGAAGAAAGAAUCACAAAAUUGUUGAGGUUAAUUCACUUAGAUGUUAAUGGCACUUGUCCACAACAUAAUACUACUCAUGUUGUAUGACAUUCACCGAAGAUCGCUCUCGGUUGGAUUAUCAUUUAUUUUGAAUAAACACAAGUCCGAAUACUUUGCAAAAGGUUUCAAAGAAUUCAAGAAUGUAAGUUGAUGAGUAAGACGUCUAAAGUAUUUACCUCCUUAGAUUUGAUCCAAGGAAAAGAACACUUUUGAAGAGUUUCCUUGACUAUAUCAAGGAAAGUAGCAUCAUAAGAUAAUGGAUUUCUCCAUUGGGAGAAGAACAAACUCGAAAAUGAUGUAGUUCGUUGGAUGUUAUCAAUUACCCAUAUAUAGGAUAUAUACUUCUAAGACAAUAUGAUUGUCAAUUAGAACAUCUUCCAAAAUUUUCAUGACUCAAUAGGAUGUAGUUGGAAAGAAAGACAAGUCUUAAGCGUGUUAAGAUUUGGGGUUGUGUGCUAAUAAGCAAUAUUUGUUUCUGAACAAUCUUGUGGGAUAUCCUUAAAUUAACCUUUGAAUAUCACUUCUAUAAACCAACUAACAAAUGUUAUUUUUUGGGUAGUUCAUUGUAAUCGUACAAUAGGAUUUGCCUAAGAUAAAGCAAAUGAACGAGACAUAGAACUCAAAGAAUGGGUUCUUUGAGAGACUAGAUGAUAAUCAACAAAUAUAACAACCUAGUUCCUACACCACUAGCUCCAAGGUAGUCGAGAAGGAUUUAUAAACCAUCUUCGUUGAAUGGUUUGAGCUUUAUGACUAUGUCAUAGAGUUACACCUUUUAAUUUGAAAGAAAUAAGAAUGAAAAUCCUUAUGACUACAUUAGUGUACAUACGACAUAUACUCAAGGAAAUGGUAUAGUACCAUUUGACCCGAAAUAGUGAAACAUUGAUAGCUAAUUGGUAGCUUAAGGUGACUACAAUCAACGAGAUUGGUUGACUUGGAAAAAACCAUCUUGACGUAGUCUUGGUUUUUGUUAAUUCGAAGAUUGCUAGCUACAACUAAAUGGUGAUUCAAUGUUUGGACAUAAUAUGGGUUUCCGAAACCAUUCUUGAUAAUAUAUGUCUAAGACUAGGAAUCACAAGACGUGUAAGUUGUAGAGAUCCAUCCAUCGUGAAUCUUAGCAAGCUAGUGGGAGCUAUAAGUGUCUUAUGUGACAAAGAUCAAAUCAUUUGAUUUAUCAUACAGAUGUAAAUGAAUCUUUUGUUUACUAGGUUUACAAAAGAUUAGUAGGAGUUAAUCAUAUUCCUAAUUUUGGAAAUGAAAGGAAUUCUUCUUCGUUAAAGUUAUGACUUUAAACAUUCUAUAACGAUAGAAUGUAUAUGGGAGACAUAGUCUAUAUACAUGGGAUGUAAAUCUAUAAUGAUAGAUUUCAAGAUAUAAUUGGAUUAUCUCAAUCCCUAUGGAUAGACGAUAGAUGUAGGAAAUUUCUCGAAUGAUAAAAUUUUAAAUGAAAGGACAGUUCCAGUUAGAUUGGGAAAUUGCUCUUCUAAAAGGGAAUGUACCCUUUUGACUCCCAAAGAAGCAUGAAGCGUAAAUAGAAUCCUUUAUGCAUACGCAGAAAGGUGAUUUACGUAUUUCAUAUUGUAUGAAAAACAUUGAUAUGAGUUAUGCCAACAUUGGUACAAAACGAUAUCAGUGCAAGCCCAAGAUCACAACCAUGGCAACUGUCAAAUGAGUCCUUAAGUAUUUUAGAAAUACUAAAGGGUAGAUUCCUCAAGAAUGGGGAAGAAUUAGAGUAACGCAAUGGAAGCGUAAAUGUAUUAGAUUAUGAAUGUAAUAUCGUAUCCAUCAUUGGAUGUCUCUUCAUUUUGAAUGAAGAGAUAAUUGGAUAUCUCUUUAUUAUGACUAAAUAGAUAUUUGGGUGGAAACGUUAAAAGUAAUGACUUUAGUAUGUUCCAUCAUGGAAAAUUUAUCGCCAUAUAGAAGCUUACAACAAUAUUGUUUGGAUGGGAAAGUUCAUUUAUGAACUCUCCAUUUGGUUCCAACCAUAAAGUGUCUCUAGUGUACCCACAUUAUGACACUAAUGGGGUGAUAGCUCAAGCCAAGGAAUCAAGGUCUCAUCAAUAUCUAAACUCAAAUGAGAGACUGAACCACAUGAUUGAGAAUCAUGUAUAAUGGUGACAUCGUUAUUCUCAAGGUUGCUUCUAUGGAUAACAUAUAGAUAUCCAUUGUCUAGGCCUACUACUCAAGCCAUUUUUGAAAUGAAUUCAAAAAAGGUAUCAUCACUGAUGACCAAGCUGGUUGGCUCUAGUGCAAGUGGGAGAUUGUUGGAAAUGUGCCCUAAAGCCAAUCAUAUGAUGAUACUUUACGGACAUUUCACAUGUUAAACUAAUCUAGUUUAAUAUAAAGGGCAAAGAUUAUUGUUUACAACCAUCUCAUAUAAAUGUUAUAUGCUUAAAUGAUAAGUCCAAGGAAUAUCUAAUUGGGAGAAUGUGAUCUAAAGAAGUUAGAUUCAUGUGACCAUUCUCUUUCAUAUACAUAUCCUAAACUUUCUUGAUCAUAAGAUUGCCAAUUGGGCAUUGACAGUCCGUUAAGAUCAAUACAUGCUACGUCUUCUCUUAAGGAGAGUGACUGGUCUCGAGUCUCGAGUCAUUGGUGUGAUUGACACCAAGACAAUCAUAUAAGUAAAAGAAUUACAUUGGAUAGUAGACAUGAAUAAACUAUUAAACCACACAAUUGUAUUAGAGAAAGACCGUAUUGCAUUGUAAUCCUAAACUGAUUAGGUUCUCCACCUCUUCUGAUUAGCUUAGGUAGCCAUGAUAUGCUGCUAGGUGUCACUCAUGGUUUGCGGAAGCCCUAAAGGUGUAUAAUCACUAAAGGGAGAAUUGAAAGUAUGUUUCAAUUCACAAUUGAUUUGAAGAGUUCUAAUCGCCCACUGCCUCGCUAAAAGGAACCUAAUGGACUAUACACCGUGUAAGGUAGAGAUUGAAUAAUCAAUGGAGAUGAGUAAGGAUAAUUAAAUGGUUUAAGUAUUUAUGGCUAGGAUUAAUUAAUAUGUUAAUUAAUCAAACAAAUAAGUUCGUUUUAGCUUUUGAGUAAUUAUUCAACCUCAAGACCCAUUGGGCUUAGAACCGUCAAGCCCAUUAACUUAAGUUGUAUGAAGGGCCCAAACAGCCCAAAGCCUUUAGAAGGCCGGCCAUAUUGUAAAUGAAUGGGUUUUGGUUCUUUUUGUCACUUAAGUGAAGUGAAUAUAUAGAGGACUUUAUAGCCAAAAGUUAAAAAAAGAAGGGUUUUCAAGAGAGAAAAGAUGAGAACACAAAGCUCUCUCUUCUCUUAGGAGGCCGGCCACCCUAGAGGAAAAUAGCUAGCAAUCUUUCUUCCUCUAGGUCACUCAUCUCUUCCUCAAUGCUCUCCUUGGUUUGGAGACUUAGAGGUUCCCUAUUUUGGGAACUUGGAGAAUCUAUUCCUUCAUCCAUCCAAGA